GACAGAGGGGGCAAGCGUUGUCCGGAGUUACUGGGCGUAAAGCGCGCGUAGGCGGUACGGUAAGUAAGGUGUGAAAGCCCCAGGCUUAACCUGGGGAGGUCAUCUUCGACCGCCGCACUCGAGUCGUGCAGAGGGUGGUGGAAUUGCCGGUGUAGUGGUGAAAUGCGUAGAGAUCGGCAGGAACACCAAGGGCGAAAGCAGCCACCUGGGCACGUACUGACGCUGAGGUGCGAAAGCGUGGGGAGCGAACCGG
rnacentral:rRNA from 1 species